rnacentral:lncRNA from 1 species
UAUGUUAUCUAUGUGCGCUUUGGUGGCGUUGAUAUUCCCAAUAGCCCCUUCACAGUCAUGGUAAGCAGGGUUCCUUCUCCUGAGCCGGCUCUUACUAGCAGAAGCAGUCACAACCGUCAUUUGUUGAACCCUUAUUUGGCCAUCUUCCCUCACACCCUUGAUCCUAGGUAUAUAAUCGCUAGAAGCAGCAAUUUUGGGGGAAAUCUCUUGAGUCAUGGAGGCAUCUGGCAUGCCAAGGAAGUUAGGCAAUAUCCUCCUGUAAGCCAGCUCAGAGGGAGACAGUUUCACAGGAACAUUGGAAAACAGUACUAAAGAUACAUGUGCCUCUUUUCCCAUCCCCACUGCUGGAGAAGGGGGAUCCUCAUGCUCUUGUCUACACACUUGACUGAUAUCUCAGGAUGCACAGAGCCUCCAGCCGUGUUUGCAUGAGAUUCAGAAGGGGGAAGUGUGUUGUCUUUUAUAGCCAGAAAGAUCUGGAAUAGAAGGGAACUAUUGUGUGAACAUCCCAGGUAACGAGUAACUGGAGCCUUUAAUUUUCAGUCCUGGAUGCCUGUUAGAUCUUCUCUAAUUAUUAAGGUCCUUCCACGAGGAGCAUGGUGGAACUACGGCAGACUUACCACAUAAACUUUAGAAGCAAGCCCUGUUUGCCCUGCUAGAAUGAGGAGUGCCCAGUCUAGACAGAUAUCAGGUGCCAUGUGGGCUCCCUCACUGUGUCCUUUGAUGCAGAACAGCCUGGGAUCUGGCUGCUGGUGGUCUGACUCCACCCACCACUUGUGAAGUGCUUUCUGAUUGCUUCAUGUUGUACGGCAGUGGAGAAGGGCACAAAGACUCCAUUCCAAACAGAAGCCCAGGGACCCUGUUCCCAUCUAUAAUCUGUUGUAGCUUUUCUCCUUUUCCUCCAUGUGUGUUUAGCUAUAAACAUCCGGCCAGCGGUCUGGAAGCUCUUUCAUAUGUCAAAUAUGUAAACACUUGUCGACUUUGGACACUGUCCAUUUGGGAGUUUUUUCUUCUCUGGGGGAGAAAACAUUGCAAUGAGAAUGUCAGUUCUACUUAGAAGCGUGUUCUAGUUAGAGUAUAGGUUGUAGUUGUACUGUGUUGUGUUUAUCCCCUAGUAGGUAUGAUCUUGUUAGUUAGAUUAGGGAAGAGCAGCAACCCUGGGCAGAGAUCUCGAUGCCAUUGCAAUGGCUGGGAUAAGGAGAUCCCAGAUGCUGAGACCCGAGAAUGAGCAUUCCUUAAGUCCUGCGUGCUUACAACUUGAGGGGACUCACUGCACCCCCUUUCCUGGGUGAUUGAAUCUCCCUUUAAAUGCUCAAGACUGGGAGAACAUGGACAGCUGACAGCACACUGGUAGCAAAUACCUUAGGGAGACCCACACACUUGUGUGUGUCACACCCGUAUGGCAUGCAGGCUCAUGGCGGAGCAGCCUAAUUGACACCAUUGAGAAGUUCUAGUUGCGAGACUGCAUAUACAGCCUCGAAAGGCCUUCCUGUUCGUGACAUGGUUUUGAGUUGGCCUCUUGAAGAGAUGGCCCUAGAGGCAAAGCUAGAUGUCAGAGAAACCCUUUCUGCAGAUGGCACAGUACACAGCUUCUUUGUUCCGUGUUACGACGGAGGAUGGUGAUGAGAGACCCUUCCUUGUUGGGUCAGUUGGAUCAGGAGCAUGAAGCUGGACAUUUUAAAAAAUGAAUGUGCUUAAACUUUCAAAUGUGUUACUGACUGGAACUGGAAAGAUGGUUCAGCCGUUAACAGCACUGGCUACUCUUCCAAAGGACGACCUAAAUCCAAUUCCCAGCACCCACUCAGCAGCUCACAAUUGUCAGAAAUUCCAGUCCUAGGAGAUCUGACACCCUUACACAGAUACACAUCUGGCAAAACACCUUUGCACACAAAAUAAAUCAUUUUUAAAAUCUACCUAACAAAUCUUAAAGCCUCUAUAUCCUGAAGAAAGAAAGAAAG